rnacentral:lncRNA from 1 species
GGAGCAACUAAUAAAGCUCUGUACCACUGUUGAAGAUGGUUUUAGCCUGGAGAAUUUUCCUGAGUAUGCUGCUUAUGUGGACCCUGCUGCCAAUGCAGAUGAUCUGACUCAGCCUCCUUCCUAUCCAAGUGGCCUACAGACUGUAAAAUCCUCUGAGGUGGAUACUGUCCUGUUGUCAGAUGACAAUUUUAUCCUUCCCCCUGGAAUUGAGGGUUACUCAACUGAUGGCGACCACUUGCCGCUGCCUCCUGGACGUAGAAAAGAAUUGGAUCG